rnacentral:rRNA from 1 species
CCUACGGGCGGCAGCAGUAGGGAAUCUUCCACAAUGGGCGAAAGCCUGAUGGAGCAACGCCGCGUGGGUGAAGAAGGUCUUCGGAUCGUAAAACCCUGUUGUUAGAGAAGAAAGUGCGUGAGAGUAACGGUUCACGUUUCGACUUUAUCUAACAAGAAAGCCACGGCUAACUACGUGCCAGCAGCCGCGGUAAUACGUAGGGGGCAAGCGUUAUCCGGAUUUAUUGGGCGUAAGGGAACGCAGGCGGUCUUUUAAGUCUGAUGUGAAAGCCUUCGGGUUAACCGGAGUAGUGCAUUGGAAACUGGGAGACUUGAGUGCAGAAGAGGAGAGUGGAACUCCAGGUGUAGCGGUGAAAUGCGUAGAUAUAUGGAAGAACACCAGUGGCGAAAGCG